GACGUCAGGCAGUGGCCCAUACCCUGAGGUCACUGAUAGUUUGUUGGGGCCAUCGAGCAUCCAAUGGUCCAGGGCAGAGGGGGGGCUGGUUCGAUGAACGGGUGGCUACUAGGUCCCAGUAGUUUAUUCGUGGGUUACUAUCUAUAGCAACGUUUAUUAUUAAUUAAUACUCCUGGAAGCUGGAAUGGAGUAUGACUUCUGGACCCGCAGACUCGGCAAUGACAGUGUAAAAGUAGUUUGUUAACUCAUGUAAGUAGCAGAUAUAUGCAGUAUGUUUAUGCUUCGCAAAAAAAAGAUUAAAACGAUGUUGAAUCUGAUUUAGUUCGGAAAAGGAACAAAACUGGUGAAUAUAUAAUAUUGUAUAUGUAGAUGUUAUACAAAUUCUUAACAUUAUUGCCUACAGGUUAGCCGGUCAAGACUGGUAUAAUACUCCUACUGGAGAAGGCAAGUGGCAAUAACCAAAAACUGCCGACACCAUGGAUGAUUCAGUAGCACUGCGCAUAAUUAAAGUUGGAACA
rnacentral:lncRNA from 7 species